GACGAACGCUGGCGGCGUGCUUAACACAUGCAAGUCGAACGGAAAGGCGCUGCGUUUGCGGGGUGCUCGAGAGGCGAGCGGGGGAGUAACACGUGAGUAAACUCCACUUGACUGAGGGAGAAAUUCAGGAAAAUGGGGCUAAUACCGGAUAGGAGAUCCUGCUGCAUGGGGGGGGUUGGAAAGAUUCGGCGGUGGGGGAUGGAAUAGCGGCUUAUGAGCUGGUUGGUGGGGUAGUUGCUUACAAAGGCUUUGAAGGAUAGCCGGCCUGGGAGCGUGACCGGCGACAUUGCGCCUGCGAUACGGCCCAGACUCCUACGGGAGGCAGCAGUGGGAAAUAUUGCACAAUGGGCGGAAGCCUGAUGCAGCAGCGCCGCGUGCGUGAUGCCGUCUUUCGGGUUGUAAACCGCUUUCUCCUGUGACGAAGCGUUAUUGACGGUAAUGGGUCAAGAAGCACCGGCUAACUACGUG
rnacentral:rRNA from 1 species